UUUUAAUGAUUUCAAAUUCAAAUACGGCGCUGCCUUUCAAGGAACAUAUACACUAACAUAUUUCUGUCUCCUUACAUAAUUGGACUCCGCUAAUGGACGUAAGAAGAAGAGAGAUCCACAAUACCCACCUUUGGCCUAUUCUCACUAACACAAGGAUAGCAAGAGAAGCCCAAAGUGAGGGUCAUGUUCUGCUAAACAGAAUCAAAAACCAGCGAGCCGAGACCAGCUACGAAACUUUUCUCCGCCAUGCCCAGCCGUCACUUAUACACACAGAGAAUUGGUUUUAAGACUGAAAAGAUUGGCUGGCUACUUUCCCUUCGCCGUCAACUACUAUCCAGCACCGUCUACCUUCACCUCUCCACGCAAGGUAUGUUGAUAAAAGGUCCUGGCUGCUCUGUAUACCUUACCCUCAUAUUCUCAAACAUUUUGGAGCCUACACACCCACAGUCACAUUUGAUAAGGUUUUCAUAAUGGUUGUGUUAGUAAUAUUUCCAUUAGUGGGUAGUUUUAUGAGCCUAGUGAUAGUCUGACAAGGCUUUAGUAGAAGUUGUGUUAGUAGUAUUUCCAUGGAUAGUUUUACGAGCCUAGUGACAGUUUGACAAGGCUUUAGUAGAAGUUGUGUUAGUAGUAUUUCCAUGGAUAGUUUUACGAGCCUAGUGAUAGUUUGACAAGGCUUUAGUAGAGGUUGUGUUAGUAGUAUUUCCAUGGGUAGUUUUAUGAGCCCAGUGAUAGUUUGGCAAGGCUUUAGUAGAGGUUGUGUUAGUAGUAUUUCCAUGGGUAG